UACUAGAGUAGCACUCGCAUAUCAAUAAGCGGAGGAAAAGAAACUAGCAAGGAUUCCCCUAGUAACGGCGAGUGAAGCGGGAAGAGCUCAAAUUUGAAAUCUUAAAGGGUUUCCCUUUACGAAUUGUAGUUUAAAGAAGUGUUUUCUGUUGAGGUUUUGGUAAAAGUUCUUUGGAAUAGGACAUCAUAGAGGGUGAGAAUCCCGUAUUUGACCUUUACUUUCAACUUUGUGAUACACUUUCAAAGAGUCGGAUUGUUUGGGAAUGCAGUCCAAAAUGGGUGGUAAAUUUCAUCUAAAGCUAAAUAUUGGCGAGAGACCGAUAGCGAACAAGUACCGUGAGGGAAAGAUGAAAAGAACUUUGAAAAGAGAGUUAAACAGUACGUGAAAUUGUCAAAAGGGAAGCGUUUGACACCAGUGUUGUUUUUCUGAAAAUCAAUUAAAGAACUGUUUAUGCUAAGUUGUUUAGACUUUAUCAGCUAACUGUUUAGUUUUGAGCUUUUCUUUAAUGCACUUUUCAGUUAACAAGUCAACAUCAAUUUCUUUUGCUGUAAAAAAGCUUGAGGAAGGUGGCUUGAGAUUCGUCUUAAGUGUUUAUAGCCUCUUGCCUAUGCAGUCGGAGAGAUUGAGGUCUGCAGCGUAGAUCCUUCGGGGCUAAAUGCAUUUGUGCUAAGUUAUAGCAUUUUAUAGACAACUUGUUGACUAUGAUUUGUCUUGUAGCUUACUCGCUUAUGUUAUAUUACCUACGCUUAGGAUGUUGAACUACUGAGACAUAGA
rnacentral:rRNA from 1 species